UGGGGAAUUUUGGACAAUGGGGGCAACCCUGAUCCAGCAAUGCCGCGUGAGUGAAGAAGGCCUUCGGGUUGUAAAGCUCUUUUGUCAGGGAAGAAACGGUAGUAGCGAAUAACUAUUACUAAUGACGGUACCUGAAGAAUAAGCACCGGCUAACUACGUGCCAGCAGCCGCGGUAAUACGUAGGGUGCAAGCGUUAAUCGGAAUUACUGGGCGUAAAGCGUGCGCAGGCGGUUGUGUAAGUCAGAUGUGAAAUCCCCGGGCUCAACCUGGGAAUUGCAUUUGAGACUGCACGGCUAGAGUGUGUCAGAGGGGGGUAGAAUUCCACGUGUAGCAGUGAAAUGCGUAGAUAUGUGGAGGAACACCGAUGGCGAAGGCAGCCCCCUGGGUUAACACUGACGCUCAUGCACGAAAGCGUGGGGAGCAAACAGGAUUAGAUACCCACGUAGUCCCUGAGCGGGCUGGCAAGGCGCAU
rnacentral:rRNA from 1 species